AACAAUCUUCGAGAGAUUCAAGAGAAUUUAAAUUCUAUCCAGAAGGAAAUCUCCAAGUUACAGGAACAGAUGGAUCAACAUCAGAUGGAUCUUGUUCCUCAAGGAGGAAAUUCAUCGCAAGAGGAGGAUUAGUGAAGAUGAACAACUGCUGUCAGUGACACAUGGCACCCUACCUGUUGAAAAAUUCGAUCACCCCUUUUUGCUGAACACCAUGUUGAGAGAUAUGUUUGAUACAAUUAAGCGAGGUAAACAAUUACAGUUUCCUUUCUCCUUGUUUGUGAACAAUUUUACGUGAUACUUACUUGCAAAGACUGUCUGUAACUCUGGGUGAAGGCAUCACUGUCACAUGGUCAGCCGGAGAUGUCCGACCCCUGAACACACCAGCAAAGGGGCACGAUACAACCAAUACACAGGACUGUUAUAUAAUCCAUUGAAUCCUGAACCAAUCCACACCGCACAAACACACCAAGAUAUCGCUGGGAAAUAAAAUCUGGCAUCCGUUGGGUGAUCAGUAUUGUCAGAAAAAUACUCCCGAAUCUUUCAGAGAAGGAAAUCUGCACCAUUCACCCUGUCUGACCUGUCCGUGACUGCAGACUCUGAUUGACUCAGGUCUGCCCCUGCUGGACUCGCGAGUCUCACUAUUAUCAAACCCCCACAUUGAAACAUUGUCAGACUGAGUCCGGACACACCAACCACCAUUGACCUCGGUCAAGAUUUCAUCUCGGGAGAAGCUCAGACAUCAUAACCAGCCUGGCAAAGCUCCCUCACAUACAUACACAGAACUAUUGGCAGAUUAUGGUCAAAGCCUCAAUAAUGAGUCCAAGUGAGAGGAGGAAGUACCUCAUGACCUGCCCAUCUCUUCCCGCUAUUUCCCCACCUCCUUCCAUUUAUUCCAAGGUCUAUUGUCCUCUCCUGUCAGAUACCUUCUUCUUUAGACUUUCGUCUCUUCCACCAAUCCCAUCUCAGUUUCUUAUAUCAUUUCCUAUCAUCCCCGUCCCCCCUCCAUCUGCCUUCUCCCUCAUCUGGACUCACUGAUCGCCCUUCAGCUUUGCCUCAUCCCCCUCCCUCACCACCUUAUUCUUCAUCCUGUUGCCUUGCUUUCCAGUCUGGGUGAAGGGUCUCAGCCCAAAGUGUUCAUUUCCCUCCGUAAACUUUUCGUGACUCAAGGUGGUCUGGCAUUUUGUGUGUGUGUGUGUGUGGUUGGCAAGAUUCCGGUUGUGAAUGAACCCAGUGACUGAGACUCCAGAGCCACCAGGAUAGAGAGUUCCAAAGAUUCACACCCCUCUGCGCGAAGAAAGUUCUCCUCUUCUCAAUCCGAAUUGACAUGUUUCUUAUUCUGAGUGUCUGAGCCCGGUCCUAGACUCUUCAGCGUAGGGAAACAUUCUCCCUGCAUCCAGCCCGUAGAGCCUUGUUAAAAAUCUAUAACUUUCCAUGGAAUUAAUCUACAGUGCCUAUAAAAAGUCUCCAACCCCCUUGGAAGUGUUCAUGCUUUAUAGUUUUACCCCACUGAAUUAAAGGAGAAUUAAUUUGGGGUUUUUGAUACCGAUUAACAGAAUAUAAGCCUCUUCAUGUCAAAAUGAAAACAAAUCUCUACAAAGUGAUUUCAAUUAAUUACAAAUAUAAAACAGAAAAUAAUUGAUUGCAUAAGUAUUCAAGUCAGUAUUUAGUAGAUGCACCUUUGGCAGCAAUUACAGCCUUGAGUCUGUGUGGAUAAGUAUCUAUCAGUUUUGCACAUCUGAAACUGAAAAUUUUCCCCAUUCUUUACAAAACUGCUCGUGCUCUGUCAGACUGCAUGGGGAUAGUGAGUGAACAGCCCUUUUCGAGUCCAGCCACACAUUGCCAAUUGGAUUGAGGUCUGGACUCUAACUUGGCCACUCCAGGACAUUCACUUUGCUGUUUUUAAGCCAUUCCUGUGAGCUUUUGCUUUAUGCUUGGGGUCAUUUUCUUGCUGGAAAACAAAUCUUCUUUCAAGUCGCAGUUCUCUCACAGACUGCAUCAAUUCCUCAAUUCCCCGUCACCUCCACCUCCCAGUAAUGUCUCCCCGAUGUGAAUCCCUCCGAUUCCCGCACACAACCCCAGUCUGUGAACCUCUUCCCGGUGUCAGGGAGAUUCCACUGGGUCCCGGUCCAUCUCACACUCUUCCGAUCCUCAGACAACUCGGGCCGCGGAUGCGCCGU